UACGUAGGGUGCAAGCGUUGUCCGGAAUUAUUGGGCGUAAAGAGCUCGUAGGCGGCUCGUUGCGUCAACCGUGAAAACCCGGGGCUUAACUUCGGGCUUGCGGUUGAUACGGGCGGGCUGGAGUUCGGUAGGGGAGACUGGAAUUCCUGGUGUAGCGGUGAAAUGCGCAGAUAUCAGGAGGAACACCGGUGGCGAAGGCGGUUCUCUGGGCAUUACCUGACGCUGAGGAGCGAAAGUGUGGGGGGCGAACAGG
rnacentral:rRNA from 1 species